UUCCUUCUUUACACAAAUAAUCCCUCCCAUUGAAAACAAAAAAACCUCUACUUUCUUCUGUUAGCUUUCUUCUUUCUUCGUGAAAAAGCAUCCCUCACUUUCGUUAUCUGUGUAUUUUUUUAGUUGGAUUAUUUGCACCAAAAAAAAAAAAAAUUGCUUGAUAGAUGGGAAAAAAGUUCUUGAAUAGACCCGAAGGGGCACUUCUGCAGUGCUUCCCUUCUCAGAACCAAGUGACAAGAGUGAUGGCAGUUUUGAAUAUUCUGUCGAACCAUUCCCAGGAUGAAGAGUACCAUGGCGACCAGUCGGAGGCUACUUGGAAUGAAGAUCCUGCUAUAAGGGCUACCUACGAACACUUCAAUGGCAGGUAAAGGAGUUUGAAAGCUUCGCUAACGAAAGGAAUGUUAACAAUGAUUUGAAGGACCAAAAUGGAGGUAGUGUUUUACCGGAAAGGAAAAUGAAUUUUAUUUGAUUUUAUAUUAAAUAAGAGUAAUUUAGGAAUAUUAAAAAUAAAAAAAAAUGAGUAAAACAAAAACUACUUAAGCGGAGAAGGUAUAUUUCAUCAGGCCCUCUUAAAAAAGGGAUAUUGGGCCAAAUUCUCCUAGAAGAAAUGUGUCACUGAGGGGGGUUUGGGCUCGGCGGAAAGGGAAGUGGGUUCGGCCUUGGCGGCCGAGGCGGAGGAAGUGGAGACUCAUCGGGGGGGUCCGAUGGAGGAGAAUCUGGAUCUGGUGGAGGAGAUCCAAAAUUUACCUAUGAAGAGGUCUUCGGUGUAGGCGGAGGUAUAUUGUCGAAGCCAGAGUCCUUGACGACGGCGGCAAAUCAAUGAUCAACUUUAAGCUCUUGAGCGAAGCUUAAAUCAAUGUUAAGCCGAAUUGCAGAACCUGAGAAGCUUGAGGAUGGGCAUGUAUUCAGUGGCCGACCGAUUCUGCAAUUGAAGAAGACAUGCGGAACUUUAUUCUUGGGGUGUAGUUAGCUAAUGCUAUGGCAAUUGGUUGCAUUGGUCGGAAUACGUUACCGAAAGUAUAGAACAAUAUAAAGGAAGGUUUUUGCCAUACGACAAGUACGAGGACCUAUCUAAAGGUCGUUGAGGACUGUUAUUUGCAAGUGGGUUCUACCUGAAAGAUAAAUUUUGGCGAUUCGGAUGGUUUGUAUUUUUUGUGAUUACGAGUAUUCUGGAGUUGGUGCUCUGGAAGUUUCUUUGUGGACAGAUAGAUAUUGUUCAAGCUGUAUGUGCGUUUUAUAGGAUGUAAAAAACUGGCGGGAAAUUCAACAGAACCACCGUCACGUCCACCGUCUCCACGGUUAACUUGAAGGCCCUCUAAUCCUCGUUAAUGAAAAGAAAAUUUCGGACAUGAAUUCACUUGUGAGAAUACUAGAGCUAGUAAUGAAGACAAAUAGAUCACUUCUUGUUGCGGCUGAGGAUGUUGAAAGUGGUCCACUAACUAUUCUUAUAGUCAACAAGCACCAUGCUGGGAUUAAGGUGAUGGCUUUGCUUUAACUUACUGUAUUAGGCUAAUGCAUCAAAUGGUACAAGAUGUAUAUAUGUUUAUCAACUUCAAUAAUAUAGCAUGGUACUGUGAAAACAUAUCUGCAAAAGUUAGAGCUGAGGUUAGGUAAACCAUCAACAACCCUAUUACAUUCCAUGUGGCAUGAACAAAAGGGAAGUCCUUAUUAUGGUGAAGAAUACUCUUUCACCUCUGAAUAAGGUUGUACAAGGAUGCUGAGAAUGAAAGCCCUUGACAAUCCAAUCAACAACAGCAGCAGAAUCAUUUCAAUGAUCAUUUUACUAAAGUUUAAGGACUGAAUAUGCUUGAGAUCAAAGUAGAGACCUCAUAUCUCAACUAGGACAUAGCUAGCUUUUCGAAGAUUGACAACAAAACUAGAGUUCCAAUGACCAUGGUCAUCUCCAAUAACCCCCCCAGCAUCAGCUAGCACCAAGUUAGGCUUAU